rnacentral:lncRNA from 10 species
UUCUGGGCAUGUUUUCCUUUGGAAGUCUCACCAGGCUGAGCAGGACUUAGAGGAACUCCGGCUACGUUUGCUGUCCCAACAAAUAGACCAGGUAUAGAGAGAACAGGCCCUGUGAGAGGGUUCCCUAAGUGUCGCUUCCUCCAAGAAGCCCUCCCUGAUGAGUUGAGCCACUUUAGUUUGUGCUCAGGCUCACCCUGCACGUCUUGGUUGCUCUCAUCACUGUAAUGAUCUAAAACACACGUCUGCUCAUGAGACCCGCAUCCCACCCCCGAUGCUGGGGCCGCUCUUGGAUUUUCAUGCCUGCUGCCAGCACCCAGGGGGAGCUCCGGAAAUGUCUGCUGGGGGCUCGGAAUACCCACCUUUCUGGUAAUGCAGCCCAGCGGGUCCCAGCCUCGUUUUCCAGCCCUCACUCAAAAUGGAGUCGCUCUGGUUCGAACGCCUCUGACAAGUGUGUACCUACGUGUCAGGCCCAUCCUUCCUGCAGGCCUUUGUCUUGGUGUCACCCUGCCUGAGCUGGCCCCAACCACAGUAGCAACAGUGAUGCUGAUGUGUGACUGCUGCCAGGAGCCUGCUCACAUGACCGUGUGGAGAAAGUUCUUUCCCUGAGGACCAUCUGGAGUGGACGCGUGCACUACCCCUCUCUGAAUACACCCUCCCCACGAGGCCCUCUGGAGCAUCCUGUAGAGCCAGCCCCUACCCAGAGACCCUGAGCCCAGAGAAUGCGCUGGGUGGUGAGCCUGGGGACGAAUGCAGAGCCCUAGGUCUCCUCUCCAGAAAGACCGGAUUUUGCCAUGUUGGCCAGGCUGGUCUUGAACUCCUGACCUCAAGUGAUCCACCUGCCUCGGCCUCCCAAAGUGCAGGGAUUACAGGUGUGAGCCACUGCACCCGGCCUCAGGCAGGUAUUUUUACCAGCCGAAUACUCUUGCACUGUGCACUCUUCGUGUUCAUCAUCAGUCCCCCGGAUGGGUGUUUAAGGCAUUUCCAAAGCUCUGUUAUUAAAAACACGAUGCAAUGAGUUUCUUUCAGCAUUUCCCCUUGUUGCCGUGUGAAUGCGUCCGUGGUAUAACUUCCUAAAAGUGGAAUCGCUUGGUCAAAGGGUGGGUGCAUUUAGCAACCUGAUGGCUUUCCAGGAGACAAGUGCUGCCUCCCGGCCACGAGCUUUUAAGAAGAACUGUUGAUGGAACCCGAGCUGGAGUCCCAGGGACCGGGGCGAGUUCUCCAUCCCAGGGGAUUUUCAGAUGGGACACUGGGGAGAAGCUGCCCUGCCCAUCUGAACUCUAUGAUCCCAGUACUAACACUGGUAGCUGUGCCAUCCCCAGUAUAGAGACAGCACCGUGCUCUUGGGAGGGUGAGUCAUUGGCCCCCG